CAAUAGCGUAUAUUAAAGUUGCUGCAGUUAAAAAGCUCGUAGUUGGAUUUCGGGAUGGCCCGGCCGGUCUGCCGCAAGGUAUGUUACUGGCCGAGCUGUUCUUCUUCGCAAAGACUGUGUGUGCUCUUAACUGAGUGUGCUCAGGAUCUGUGACGUUUACUUUGAAAAAAUUAGAGUGUUCAAAGCAAGCCAGCGCUUGAAUACAUAAGCAUGGAAUAAUGGAAUAGGACUUUGGUUCUAUUUUGUUGGUUUCUGGAACCUUAGUAAUGAUUAAGAGAGACAGUUGGGGGCAUUCGUAUUUCGUUGUCAGAGGUGAAAUUCUUGGAUUUACGAAAGACGAACUACUGCGAAAGCAUUUGCCAAGAAUGUUUUCAUUAA
rnacentral:rRNA from 1 species